rnacentral:rRNA from 1 species
AGUGAACGCUGGCGGUAGGCCUAACACAUGCAAGUCGAACGGCAGCACAGGAGAGCUUGCUCUCUGGGUGGCGAGUGGCGGACGGGUGAGGAAUGCAUCGGAAUCUACUCUUUCGUGGGGGAUAACGUAGGGAAACUUACGCUAAUACCGCAUACGACCUACGGGUGAAAGCCGGGGACCUUCGGGCCUGGCGCGAAUGAAUGAGCCGAUGCCCGAUUAGCUAGUUGGCGGGGUAAGAGCCCACCAAGGCGACGAUCGGUAGCUGGUCUGAGAGGAUGAUGAGCCACACUGGAACUGAGACACGGUCCAGACUCCUACGGGAGGCAGCAGUGGGGAAUAUUGGACAAUGGGCGCAAGCCUGAUCCAGCCAUACCGCGUGGGUGAAGAAGGCCUUCGGGUUGUAAAGCCCUUUUGUUGGGAAAGAAAAGCAGCUGGUUAAUACCCGGUUGUUCUGACGGUACCCAAAGAAUAAGCACCGGCUAACUUCGUG